UGUUUCAACCAAAGAUGUUACCUGGGCAGUGGAAUUCUGUGGAGAAAUUGCUGGCUGCUGAUGUACCUGAUGUAUCUUGGUCCACGGGAGUGACUUUUGUACUCUAUGCACUCUGAUUUUACUCAGGAGCAACUUUUGAACUCUACAUGUGCUGAUUAUUCCUUCAUACUGGUAUUCUCUGAAGACUUUUCAGGUGGCUGCAUGGACAUUGUUGGAGGACAUGAAGUGCAUCCUCACUCCUGAGCUUAUAUGGCUGCCAUCCAGCACAAGAAUUUAGGUGUUAUUUUGUGGAGGAACUAUUGUGAAAAAAUUGGUUUUGAGAGCAGCACAUUGUGAAAUAGAUGGAUUGGAAGACAGAGUUGUUCCUGGAACUUAUUGGGCAUCCAUUGUUGAAAAAAGACAGCAGAUAUUUGGGAUUAUGGAAACCUUUCCUCAUUGUCAAUGUGAUUGUCCUCCCUUUAUAAUGACAAAAUGCUCAUCAAGAUGUUGAACCUGGCACACUCUACCAGGUGGCAGGCUGGGGACACACACCACCAGAAAAGCCAACAAAAUAUCUCCAGAAGGCAACCCUUAAAAUUGUCAGUAGAAAAAGCUGUGACAAACAUUGUGCCAAUGACCCUAAAAUAA
rnacentral:lncRNA from 1 species